rnacentral:lncRNA from 1 species
AAGUGGAAUGCUAGUUAUCUCUUUUUUUCCUAGUAAAAAAUAAACCUUUGAUUUUUGAGCAUGAAUAAAACAGCUCUCUAGUAUUAAACUUGCAAAGGCUAAAAGCUGACUGCAAACGUUUACAUCACCUCCUAAAGGCACACGUUCCUACUUCGACUUCAGAUGUUGCCAAGGAGAAUAAAGCACAAAGGAGAAUUGUCUCUUGUCUGCAUAGCAGAACAAAGAAUAUCGAGCUUACAGUUUGCCUCCUUGAGAGAACCACAUCCAGAUCUUGUGGAGAUGACUCUUCAUGACCUGGACUUUAAAUUGGAUACAGUUAUUAGAGAAGAUUUGAGUUGUCAUCUUUGGGGAGAGGACACGAUGUUAUAUGAGAAGAAAAGUGAAAGAGGGUGUAAUUUUGCGUAGAAGCAGUUGUGAAGUCAGAAGUGACAUUUCCCCGUAGUCCUAAGUGGUGCUCUGAAACUUGUUCUCAUCGCUGGAUGUAAGAAAAAGUGAUUUUCCCUUUUCUACCCGAAGCAGCUAAGAGACUGCUGUGGUUUCUCAUGUUCUC